AACAGCCGUGGUAAUUCCAGCUCCAAUAGCGUAUAUUAAAGUUGUUGCAGUUAAAAGCUCGUAGUUGAAUUUCGGGGUUAGUAGGUUGGUCAUGCCUCUGGUAUGUACUGGUCUCACUGAUUCCUCCUUCCUGAUGAACCGUAAUGCCAUUAAUUUGGUGUUGCGGGGAAUUUGGACUGUUACUUUGAAAAAUUAGAGUGUUUAAAGCAAGCUAACGCUUGAAUACAUUAGCAUGGAAUAAUGAAAUAGGACGUUCGAUCUUAUUUUGUUAGGUUUCUAGGAUUGACGUAAUGAUUAAUAGGGAUAGUUGGGGGCAUUAGUAUUCAAUUGUCAGAGGUGAAAUUCUUGGAUUUAUUGAAGACUAACUACUGCGAAAGCAUUUGCCAAGGAUGUUUUCAUUAAUCAAGAACGAAAGUUAGGGGGAUCGAAGACGAUCAGAUACCGUCGUAGUCUUAACCAUAAACUAUGCCGACUAGGGAUCGGAUGAUGUUAAUUUUUUAAUGACUCAUUCGGCGCCUUACG
rnacentral:rRNA from 1 species